rnacentral:rRNA from 1 species
GACGAACGCUGGCGGCGUGCUUAACACAUGCAAGUCGAACGGAAAGACCCUGCUUUUGUGGGGUGCUCGAGUGGCGAACGGGUGAGUAACACGUGGGUAACCUGCCCUUGACUUUGGGAUAACUUCAGGAAACUGGGGCUAAUACCGGAUAUGAGCUCCUGCUGCAUGGUGGGGGUUGGAAAGUUUCGGCGGUUGGGGAUGGACUCGCGGCUUAUCAGCUUGUUGGUGGGGUAGUGGCUUACCAAGGCUUUGACGGGUAGCCGGCCUGAGAGGGUGACCGGCCACAUGGGGACUGAGAUACGGCCCAGACUCGUACGGGAGGCAGCAGUGGGGAAUAUUGCACAAUGGGCGGAAGCCUGAUGCAGCAACGCAGCGUGCGGGAUGACGGCCUUCGGGUUGUAAACCGCUUUCGCCUGUGACGAAGCGUGAGUGACGGUAAUGGGUAAAGAAGCACCGGCUAACUACGUG